rnacentral:tRNA from 2 species
AGCCAUGUAGCUCAGCGGUAGAGCACACCCCUGAUAAGGGUGGGGUCAGCAGUUCAAUCCUGCUCAUGGCUA